CACAAGUGCUGUCUUUACAAGUAUUUGCUAAA
rnacentral:piRNA from 1 species